GGGAAGAAGGACCUCCCGAGUCCCUCCGAUGGUCUUGGCGGGUCUGUAGUGAGGUGUGGUGAGUGUGGUGGUUUCACGAUUGCUCGGGGUGCCUUUUAUAGGCAGACGAGAGGGGGUGCCGCGGGGGAACAACUCCAACGACAAAUCGUGGCGACUCUAGGGGAUUUGCAGGCGCGCGUGGGGCUGGAUUAGAUACUGGCGUGUGAGGCUGCUCCAUUUUGCUCCCAAGUUCGGGCUAAUAUGCGAUGGGGCAUGCUUUCCACAGCGGGGCUU
rnacentral:lncRNA from 1 species